CUCUCCUCUCUCUCUUCACCUUCACGUCACUCGUUUCUUCACUGGAUCGCCGCCUUCUUGUCGCCUCGAAUCGCCACCGUCACCGUCUGCAUCAGCAGCAAGCGCCAUCGCAAUCUCUGCUCCAUCCAACGGAGACGACUAUCCUCCUUAGCAUGAGCCUCUGUAUUUGAUCUUGAUGGAAGCUUGCUACUUGUUUCCCCAAGUAUACUUCAUCAGUUGCCAAAAGAAAUUUGGAAAAUUUCUCAGGCUGCUCCGUUGCUUUUUUCCAAGCAUGGUCAAGCUGAAUCGGGAUCUACUAGUACAAAGUUUUUCAAGAUAUUUGCACUUUUUGGUGAUCGUCUUCCUCAGCCUUAUGCAAACAACCAAGCUGCAAGAUUUGCAAAUGGAGGGGCCUAUCCUCCUAAUUUAAGUCUUAUCACAAAGAUUAUCCGAGACCACUUGACACGAUUGCCAGCUUCGAUGAAGAAUGUCGAAAGAUUUCAUAAUGGGGCAGGUCUGAGAAGUAGUGUUGGAGUUGAUGGUAAAGGCAGAAGUGCGAGGGGCUGCAUUGGAGGCGAAAUGCCCGUUGAGCAGCACACAAGUAAAUGAGACAUAGUUAAGAGGCAGCAACAUGCUAAAAUGGAUGGUGAACUUUGAUCAAGUGACAAAAACUCACAGGAAAACGUGGAAAAGCAGCCAAGGCAUCUAUCAGUCGUCUUCCCCCUGUUGUUCGAGUAAUGCAACUUGGUUGAUGAAUGAGCUGCCUUCAACUUCAGCUGAGAAAUCUCUGACUCUAGCUGCGAUAUUAGGGGCCGUCUAUGCUCAGAAUCAGCAGCAAGAGAUUAAGCUCUAUGAACAUUUACAAAGAAAUAGGUUUCUUGGAAAGUAUGAUGAGGUUGAUGAAAUUAACAUUCAGCAAGUUCAGAUGAGGGCCGAGGCUUUUCUGGGAGAAAGGAGGAGCUCUGAGUCCAAAUCUUUCUCCAAUGCAUUGGAAGUGCUGAGCUAAAAAAGGGACCUAUUUAUGGAGCUCCUGCCAGAUCCCGACUCGUUGCUAGCAAGGCGGUCAAAGAGGAUAGUUGAGAAAGAUACAAUCAAGUCGGCACUAAGUGGCAAUGUAUCAGAAUAUGAGGCAAUGGAUGAUGCAAACUCGAACGAUAAUCUAUGACAGAAAAUCGAUUAUCAGCUCAAGUACUCCUCAAGAACAAAUUUCACAGCCCAGCCUUCAGAUAAGAGAGUGAUACUGAAGCCAGCUCCCCGAAUUGAAAAGCAUUCUGGGAACUUGACCUUCAGCCAUCGUUGCAGCUUCCUUACAAAUUGAAUAUAAUAUACACUAUGUAAUAAGUUUUUUUUUUGCAUGAUUGAGUUCCUUCACCAGA